UACGGGGGGGGCAAGCGUUGUUCGGAAUUACUGGGCGUAAAGGGCUCGUAGGCGGCCAAUUAAGUCAGACGUGAAAUCCCUCGGCUCAACCGGGGAACUGCGUCUGAUACUGAUUGGCUUGAGUUCGGGAGAGGGAUGCGGAAUUCCAGGUGUAGCGGUGAAAUGCGUAGAUAUCUGGAGGAACACCGGUGGCGAAGGCGGCAUCCUGGACCGACACUGACGCUGAGGAGCGAAAGCCAGGGGAGCAAACGGG
rnacentral:rRNA from 1 species